AUGCAUGGGCGAAGCCUGAUGCAGCGACGCCGCGUGAGGGAUGACGGCCUUCGGGUUGUAAACCUCUUUCAGCAGGGAAGAAGCGAAAGUGACGGUACCUGCAGAAGAAGCGCCGGCUAACUACGUGCCAGCAGCCGCGGUAAUACGUAGGGCGCGAGCGUUGUCCGGAAUUAUUGGGCGUAAAGAGCUCGUAGGCGGCUUGUCGCGUCGGUUGUGAAAGCCCGGGGCUUAACCCCGGGUCUGCAGUCGAUACGGGCAGGCUAGAGUUCGGUAGGGGAGAUCGGAAUUCCUGGUGUAGCGGUGAAAUGCGCAGAUAUCAGGAGGAACACCGGUGGCGAAGGCGGAUCUCUGGGCCGAUACUGACGCUGAGGAGCGAAAGCGUGGGGAGCGAACAGGAUUAGAUACCCUGGUAGUCCACGCCGUAAACGGUGGGCACUAGGUGUGGGCGACAUUCCACGUCGUCCGUGCCGCAGCUAACGCAUUAAGUGCCCCGCCUGGGGAGUACGGCCGCAAGGCUAAAACUCAAUGAAAAUUGACGGA
rnacentral:rRNA from 1 species